ACCUAGCUGGCUCAGUCAGUAGAGCAUGUGGCUCUGGAUCUCUAGGUCAUGAGUUUGAGCCCCAUGUUGGGCA
rnacentral:tRNA from 1 species